ACAAAUGCGAAGAUCAAGAGAGUAGUUUUGAUGAUGAGUAUCAGAGAAAAGAUGAUUAGGUGAGACAUCUUUCCGUUAUCAAAAUGAAGGUAGCUUGUGAGCAUUCAUAUUGAUAUUGAUAAUUUAGAUAUGAACGGGCCAUCGUUAAUUGGAUUAAGAGAAAGUAUUUGUUUUAAUGCUUUAAAUUAGGUGGUACCGCGAGCACUUCGUCCUAUUG
rnacentral:ncRNA from 1 species